rnacentral:piRNA from 1 species
UCCAGUUUUUGUGGGACAUGAUAUGCAA